rnacentral:rRNA from 1 species
UACGUAGGGGGCGAGCGUUGUCCGGAAUUACUGGGCGUAAAGCGCGCGUAGGCGGUCUGUCGCGUCGGCGGUGAAAGCCCUCGGCUCACCUGGGGGAGGUCCGCCGAAACGGGCAGACUGGAGGGCGGUAGGGGCUGGCGGAACGCCCGGAGUAGCGGUGAAAUGCGUUGAGAUCGGGCAGAACACCAGUGGCGAAGGCGGCCGGCUGGGCCGACCCUGACGCUGAGGCGCGAAAGCCAGGGGAGCGAACGGA